rnacentral:miRNA from 1 species
GGAGCGCUUGCUCUGUAGCGGUUUCCUUCAUGGCAGAUGGGAAUUGUUCCUUUGGGAUCUGGGAGGAGACCCAGGCCGCGCAUCCAG